GGGUCCCAGGUCCCGGACGCAGUCAGCACUUGGCGUGCAGCCCAGCACUCACCAAGAAGCCCACCAGAUUUCCAGGUACCGACGUGAAGAGAGAAGCACUCUCAGUGCCAUGAGAAUGUAAGCUCAUAUUAUUCACUGUCACCGUUCCAGAACACAACCCUCCGUCUUAGAACAGUCAAUCUCUCCCACAAGGUUGAACAUGAGACACCAUGCUUUAUGCUCAUGGUCUUACAGAUUCGGUGUGAUAAUCCUAUCAACAUAAAAAUGGAUUCAAUAUUCACAUAAGGGAUAGGUCCAGGCAGUAACAACA